UUCAUAAACAACGAUGAAAAAGAGAUCCCCUUCCAAAAUCUCCUUUUCCGACAUGAACCUAAAUCUCUUGAUUCCUCAAUUCUCAAAUCUCUUGUGUUUUGACUCAAUCUUCUUCUCACCCUUCUCUACCACUAAAAGCUUCGAUUCACAAGGGCAUGAACUAUCCUUUUUACGUUGCUGGAGACUGAUCGUUAGAUAAUGGCGACGUUUGAGCUAUACAGCAGAUCGACGAUAGGGAUGUGUUUGACGGAGACUCUUGACGAGAUGGUUCAGAGCGGUACCUUGAGCCCUGAGCUAGCAAUCCAAGUCCUUGUUCAGUUUGACAAGAUGACUGAUCUUGGAGUCUUUUGGAUUUGCCUCUGUUGUUUUUUGUUUUCUUUCUGUCUGAUAUAUGUGUCCCUUUGAAGACCAAGGUGUAUAUCAAGAUUGAAGUUGGCCCUUAUCUUGAUGAAUAGCAAUGCAUGGAUCUUUAUAUUACAUGACGCAAUGUUCAAGAUAAACCACCGUCAAGAGGAUGUGAGCCGGGUCAAGAUAGUGGCAUGUGACUAUAAGCUACUCACACAGCGAGAUGUAAUAGAUUUUUCAGUUUUCCUUUUUCACUUUGUAAAACUCAGGCACUUGCUAUAUGUUGAGCUCCAUUUCAAUAUAGUUUA